GACGAACGCUGGCGGCGUGCUUAACACAUGCAAGUCGAACGAGAUCCAAUGUGUAGCAAUACACAGGAAGAUCUAGUGGCGAACGGGUGAGGAACACGUGAGAAACGUACCCCAGACUCUGGGAUAACAAUUCGAAAGGAUUGCUAAUACCGGAUGACGUCGGGAGUCCGCAUGGACAUCUGACGAAAGGGAUUCCGGUUUGGGAGCGUCUCGGGGACCUAUCAGCUAGUUGGAGGGGUAACGGCCCACCAAGGCAACGACGGGUAGCUGGUCUGAGAGGAUGGUCAGCCACACUGGGACUGAGACACGGCCCAGACUCCUACGGGAGGCAGCAGUGGGGAAUCUUGCGCAAUGGGCGAAAGCCUGACGCAGCAACGCCGCGUGCGGGAAGAAGGCUUUCGGGCUGUAAACCGCUUUCAGUAGGAACGAAACUGACGGUACCUACAGAAGAAGGAGCGGCCAACUAUGUGCCAGCAGCCGCGGUAA
rnacentral:rRNA from 1 species